CCGGAUGCCGGCAGGAUCCGGCAUGGAGAGCGUCCGCUCUCUCGGACACAUCGUCAUAGACUUGUUGCUCAACGGAGGACUUGGAUAUGAGGA
rnacentral:sRNA from 1 species